rnacentral:rRNA from 1 species
UUUAAUGAGAGUUUGAUCCUGGCUCAGGACGAACGCUGGCGGCGUGCCUAAUACAUGCAAGUAGAACGCUGAAGGAGGAGCUUGCUUCUCUGGAUGAGUUGCGAACGGGUGAGUAACGCGUAGGUAACCUGCCUGGUAGCGGGGGAUAACUAUUGGAAACGAUAGCUAAUACCGCAUAAGAGUAGAUGUUGCAUGACAUUUGCUUAAAAGGUGCACUUGCAUCACUACCAGAUGGACCUGCGUUGUAUUAGCUAGUUGGUGGGGUGACGGCUCACCAAGGCGA